GACAGAGGGGGCAAGCGUUGCUCGGAAUUACUGGGCGUAAAGGGCGCGUAGGCGGGAUGGCAAGUCGGUCGUGAAAUCCUUCGGCUCAACCGAAGAACGUCGAUCGAUACUGCUGUUCUUGAGGGUUGCAGAGGAGACUGGAAUUCCCGGUGUAGCGGUGAAAUGCGCAGAUAUCGGGAGGAACACCAGCGGCGAAGGCGGCACUCUGGGCUGGAACUGACGCUGAGGAGCGAAAGCGUGGGUAGCAAACAGG
rnacentral:rRNA from 1 species